GGGUUAGCCCAGCGUGGGGACACCCUAGCCCCUGCCCUAAGUAACCAUGAUAAGGUUGGGGGUCGAACCCCCCAGGAAUCCUGGG